rnacentral:rRNA from 1 species
AUUGAACGCUGGCGGCAUGCUUUACACAUGCCAGUCGAACGGUAACAGGCCGCAAGGUGCUGACGAGUGGCGCACGGGUGCGUAAUGCAUCGGAACGUGCCCAGUCGUGGGGGAUAACUACUCGAAAGAGUAGCUAAUACCGCAUACGAUCUAUGGAUGAAAGCGGGGGACCGUAAGGCCUCGUGCGAUUGGAGCGGCCGAUGUCAGAUUAGGUAGUUGGUGGGGUAAAGGCUCACCAAGCCAACGAUCUGUAGCUGGUCUGAGAGGACGACCAGCCACACUGGGACUGAGACACGGCCCAGACUCCUACGGGAGGCAGCAGUGGGGAAUUUUGGACAAUGGGCGCAAGCCUGAUCCAGCAAUGCCGCGUGCAGGAAGAAGGCCUUCGGGUUGUAAACUGCUUUUGUACGGAACGAAACGGCUCUGGUUAAUACCCGGGGCUAAUGACGGUACCGUAAGAAUAAGCACCGGCUAACUACGUG